AUGCGUCGUCUCAGCCACUUCCCCCUCCUCGCCGCCGUCCUCCUCGCGGCGGUCCCGCGCCCGGCCCACCCCCUCACCGAGCUCGAGACCUCCCAAAUCCGGCGCUUCCAGGACUACCUCCGCAUCUGCACCGCCCACCCCGCCCCGGACUACGCCGGCGCCGCCGCGUUCCUCCUCCCCUACGCCGCGUCACUCGGCCUCCGCACCGCCACGCUCCACUUCAGCCCCUGCAAGUCAAAGCCCCUCCUCCUGCUCACCUGGCCGGGCACGGACCCCUCGCUCCCCUCCAUCCUCCUCAACUCCCACCUCGACUCCGUGCCCGCGGAGCCCGAGCACUGGAUCCACCCGCCCUACGCCGCGCACCGCGACCCCGCCACCGGCCGCGUCUACGCCCGUGGCGCGCAGGACGACAAGUGCCUCCCCGUCCAGUACCUCGAGGCCAUCCGCGGCCUCCAGGCCGCCGGCUUCGCGCCCGCCCGCACCGUCCACGUCUCGCUCGUCCCCGACGAGGAGAUCGGCGGCGAGGACGGCCACGAGAAGUUCGUCCAGUCGGAGGAGUUCCGCGCCCUCAAUGUCGGUUUCAUGCUCGACGAGGGGCAGGCGUCGCUCACGGAUGUGUACAGGGUGUUCUACGCGGAUAGGCUGGUCUGGAAGCUGAUCGUGAAGGCCACGGGGGCUCCCGGACAUGGGUCGAAGCUGUUCGAUGGGGCCGCCGUGGAGAAUCUGAUGGAUUGCAUCGAGACCGUGGCUGGAUACAGGGAGGCACAGUUUGAGAAGGUGAAGUCCGGCAAGUACGGUCCCGGAGAGGUGGUGUCCGUGAAUCCUGUGUACAUGAAUGCCGGCACGCCGAGCCCCACGGGCUUUGUGAUGAAUAUGCAACCUUCAGAAGCAGAGGUGGGUUUUGAUCUCCGCCUUCCUCCAACCGAAGAUAUUGAACAGAUCGAAAGAAGAAUCAAGGAAGAAUGGGCACCAGCUCAUAAAAACUUGACUUACCAGCUGUUGAAGAAAGGACCAGUGAGCGAUGUGACAGGACGCCCCUUACUUACACCAGCCAAUGAGUCCAACCCAUGGUGGGCUGUGUUUGAGCAGGCUAUUAUCUCUUCAGGUGGAAAACUAGCAAAGCCCGAGAUCUUAUCUUCAACCACGGACGCCCGAUUCGUGAGGCAGAUGGGUGUUCCAGCCCUUGGAUUUUCUCCAAUGAUAAAUACUCCAAUUUUACUUCACGAUCAUAAUGAGUUUCUGGAGGAUAAAGUGUUCCUGAGGGGCAUCGAAGUGUACCAACAUCUUAUUAGAGCGCUGAGCUCCUUCAAAGGCUGA
rnacentral:rRNA from 1 species